rnacentral:rRNA from 1 species
UACGUAGGGGGCUAGCGUUGUCCGGAAUCAUUGGGCGUAAAGAGCUCGUAGGCGGUCUGUCGCGUCUGCUGUGAAAACUCGGGGCUUAACCCCGGGCCUGCAGUGGGUACGGGCAGACUAGAGUGCGGUAGGGGAGACUGGAAUUCCGGGUGUAGCGGUGGAAUGCGUAGAGAUCCGGAAGAACACCGGUGGCGAAGGCGGCCUGCUGGGCAGUUGCUGACACUGAGGCGCGACAGCGUGGGGAGCAAACAGG